GCGCUGCAUUAGCUAGUUGGUAAGGUAACGGCUUACCAAGGCAACGAUGCAUAGCCGACCUGAGAGGGUGAUCGGCCACACUGGAACUGAGACACGGUCCAGACUCCUACGGGAGGCAGCAGUAGGGAAUCUUCCGCAAUGGGCGAAAGCCUGACGGAGCAACGCCGCGUGAGUGAUGAAGGUCUUCGGAUCGUAAAACUCUGUUAUUAGGGAAGAACAUAUGUGUAAGUAACUGUGCACAUCUUGACGGUACCUAAUCAGAAAGCCACGGCUAACUACGUGCCAGCAGCCGCGGUAAUACGUAGGUGGCAAGCGUUAUCCGGAAUUAUUGGGCGUAAAGCGCGCGUAGGCGGUUUUUUAAGUCUGAUGUGAAAGCCCACGGCUCAACCGUGGAGGGUCAUUGGAAACUGGAAAACUUGAGUGCAGAAGAGGAAAGUGGAAUUCCAUGUGUAGCGGUGAAAUGCGCAGAGAUAUGGAGGAACACCAGUGGCGAAGGCGACUUUCUGGUCUGUAACUGACGCUGAUGUGCGAAAGCGUGGGGAUCAAACAGGAUUAGAUACCCUGGUAGUCCACGCCGUAAACGA
rnacentral:rRNA from 1 species